UUUGAUCCUGGCUCAGAACGAACGCUGGCGGCAGGCUUAACACAUGCAAGUCGAGCGCCCCGCAAGGGGAGCGGCAGACGGGUGAGUAACGCGUGGGAACGUACCCUUUACUACGGAAUAACGCAUGGAAACGUGUGCUAAUACCGUAUGUGCCCUUUGGGGGAAAGAUUUAUCGGUAAAGGAUCGGCCCGCGUUGGAUUAGCUAGUUGGUGGGGUAAAGGCCUACCAAGGCGACGAUCCAUAGCUGGUCUGAGAGGAUGAUCAGCCACAUUGGGACUGAGACACGGCCCAAACUCCUACGGGAGGCAGCAGUGGGGAAUAUUGGACAAUGGGCGCAAGCCUGAUCCAGCCAUGCCGCGUGAGUGAUGAAGGCCCUAGGGUUGUAAAGCUCUUUCACCGGUGAAGAUAAUGACGGUAACCGGAGAAGAAGCCCCGGC
rnacentral:rRNA from 1 species